CACACAACGCAUCCCUUACACACAACAAGAAACACACAAUACAUCCCUUACACAAACACUCACUGCUUUCUAUCCCUUACACAAAAACACACUGCUUCCACUACACACAAACACACUGCAUCACCUACACAAACUGGUAUCCCUAUACACUACAUUCCAUAAGCACACACAUUAGAUAGUCUACAGUAACAAAUAACACAUCCCCUACACACUCUACUCCCUGUGAGCGAACUCAUGGGUGGAACAUGUAGGUGGACGUAUGGGUGGGCUUUAUGGGCAUACUCACCGUCAGGCCCUGGGGCCCAGACCUUGAGCUAUGUAAGAGGCCCCCAAAAAUGGAGCUGCUUCCCAGAACAUUGAAUUUUGUGACCACAGUUACAAACAGCCUCCAGAGAUCCUGCUCUACACCAGACCAGUGGAGCCAGACUGCAGCCAGAGCCCAUCACCAUCCUCAUCUGAUUGUAAGUAGGCAAUCUAGUAUAUUAUUAGUGACACUAAUCUCUAUUUUACCUCACAAUAAAUGGACACUAUAGUCCCCAGAACCACUGCAGCUUAAUAAAGUUGUUCUGGUGUCUAUAGUUUGUCCCUGCAGGCUUUUUAAUGUAAGCAUACACUGUGUGCAGCACUGGCACUAGUUCAUAU